GGGGCAUGCGAGGGCUGUCGCUGMCCCAAAAGUCGUGCACGCCCGAGUGUGUCCUCUCGCAUAAUAAUCCAUCUCACCCUUGUGCAUCACCGCGUGGGCACCCUUCGGGAUCAUCUCGGAGGGGGGCUCGCGUUUUCACACAAACCCCCCUUUUAAAAGUGUAGAAUGACCACAUUUAUGCAAUCAAUAC
rnacentral:misc_RNA from 1 species